AUUUGAUGAUGGGGACAGCUUGUACAUAACUUCUUAAAGCGUUCCCAGUAUUCAUGUAGGAACUCCCCAUUGUAUUGCCUUAUUCUAUAGAUUUCUUUUCUGAUAUU
rnacentral:snoRNA from 1 species